CAGUCGCCGCGGUAAUACGAGGGGAGCUAGCGUUAUUCGGAAUUACUGGGCGUAAAGCGCACGUAGGCGGCUUUGUAAGUUAGAGGUGAAAGCCCAGAGCUCAACUCUGGAAUUGCCUUUAAGACUGCAUCGCUUGAAUCCAGGAGAGGUGAGUGGAAUUCCGAGUGUAGAGGUGAAAUUCGUAGAUAUUCGGAAGAACACCAGUGGCGAAGGCGGCUCACUGGACUGGUAUUGACGCUGGGGUGCGAAAGCGUGGGGAGCAAACUGGAUUAGAUACCCCUGUAGUCCCUGUCUCUUAUAC
rnacentral:rRNA from 1 species